AUAUCAUUAGGGUCUGUCUAUAAAUAGACCCUGAGAAUGUGUGCAUCGGGAUUUAGUCCCCAAACGGGGUUUUCGAACGUGGGUGAUGAGUUCUUUGCUCUGAUCAGUUACUCAGGAGAAAUCUCUGUAAAGCGUGCGGAGGGGAAAAAAGUGAAGGAGCUCGCCAAGGAGUUCCCGUUUGGGUAAGUAAUAUUAUGUCAUGUGCAUGCCGCAGAGUGUGAGUAUG
rnacentral:lncRNA from 1 species